GACGAACGCUGGCGGCGUGCUUAACACAUGCAAGUCGAACGGUAAGGCCCUUCGGGGUACACGAGUGGCGAACGGGUGAGUAACACGUGGGUGAUCUGCCCUGCACUUUGGGAUAAGCCUGGGAAACUGGGUCUAAUACCGAAUACACCCUGCUGGUCGCAUGGCCUGGUGGGGGAAAGCUUUUGCGGUGUGGGAUGGGCCCGCGGCCUAUCAGCUUGUUGGUGGGGUGAUGGCCUACCAAGGCGACGACGGGUAGCCGGCCUGAGAGGGUGACCGGGCACACUGGGACUGAGAAACGGCCCAGACUCCUACGGGAGGCAGCAGUGGGGAAUAUUGCACAAUGGGAGCAAGGCUGAUGCAGCGACGCCGCGUGAGGGAUGACGGCCUUCGGGUUGUAAACCUCUUUCAAUAGGGACGAAGCGCAAGUGACGGUACCUAUAGAAGAAGGACCGGCCAACUACGUGCCAGCAGCCGCCGUAA
rnacentral:rRNA from 1 species